ACCUACGACCAAAUCACCCUGAAUAUGUCUGAUCUCGUCAGUUCUCGGACACAAAGCAGGUUUGAGUCUGGUUAAUAGUUGGAUGGGUGACCACCAGGGCUUGGCAGGUGUUGCAAGGU
rnacentral:rRNA from 1 species